GGAGGGAGGGAGGAAGAGGCGGAGCCGCAGCAGAAGCAGGAGGGGACAAGGAAGGAUUCGAGCGCCAUCCCGGAGCUGCCUGAACUCGCAGCGCCCCCGGGACCAUCGCCCCCCAUCCCGCAGGAUUUCCCAUUGCCUAGCCUUGGCCCGCUGGAGGAGUAGGUUGCAAGAAAGAAGAAGAUAGCCCAGGAGCCCCAGACAGACAAGGAGCUGAGCACGGAG